rnacentral:lncRNA from 1 species
UGGUACAGAGGCACGUGGUGGCUCGCGUGGGCAGGGUGCAGCGACGACGGCUGUUGAAAAGGGGCUAGGGUUUCUGUUUUUUUGUUUUUAGUUGGGCUAGGGUUUUUUAUUUUUUUGGGUUUGUUGUAAUUGGGCCUGGAUUUUAGGCCUGGACAUUUGGACUAAUUUAUUAUUUAUUAUUUGUUUGGUUUAGUAUAACGGGCAGGGCAAAUCGGGCCUGUUACAUAGAUAAAAUUAAAAAUAUGAUGAGCGCUCGUGGAACUCGUGAUCGUGUUAUUCGUGGGCACGGUAGGCUCAGC